rnacentral:misc_RNA from 1 species
GAUGAAGAACGCAGCGAAAUGCGAUAAGUAAUGUGAAUUGCAGAAUUCAGUGAAUCAUCGAAUCUUUGAACGCACAUUGCGCCCGCCAGUAUUCUGGCGAGCAUGCCUGUUCGAGCAUCAUUUCAACCAUCAAGCCCCAGGCUUGUGUUGGAGCCCUGCGGCUGCCGCAGCCUCCCAAAACCAGUGGCGGGCUCGCUAUCACACCGAGUGCAGUAGUUUACUCUUCGCUCAGGGCGUGUGGCGGGUGCUAGCCGUGAAACCCCCAACUUCUCAAGGUUGACCUCGGAUCAGGUAGGAAUACCCGCUGAACUUAAGCAUAUCAAUAAGCGGAGGA